GGCAGGCCAGUUUUUCGUGGUUGUGAUGAUUUCAGCAGUGGUGGCAUGACUGUGUAGCAGUUGUGUCGGUUCGAUGGUUGUACUGUAGUGGCGGUGGUUCUUUUGUGGGUCUGUCUGUUACUACCAUCUCCGAUUGCCAUAAGAACCAUAUAUUGUGUGUAGAAGUUGAGAAAUGAUUAAUCUCAAGUGGAUGAAUGUCUGGAAAAUGAAAUCCUUGGGAAGUGGAAGAGUACUUUACGAAUACGUCUACUGAAUUUUCAUAUGUUUUUCUUUUAAUUUUACGUUUACUAUAUAGUUGUAAUGUAAUUUUAUAUUUACAUUUACUGUUAAAGAUU
rnacentral:lncRNA from 1 species